rnacentral:rRNA from 1 species
GACGAACGCUGGCGGCGUGCUUAACACAUGCAAGUCGAACGGGCCUUGUCCCCUUUUUUUUUGGGGGUGGGGUUAGUGGCGAACGGGUGAGUAACACGUGAGUAACCUGCCCCUCACUUCUGGAUAACCGCUUGAAAGGGUGGCUAAUACGGGGUGUUCUGGCCUGCUCGCAUGGGUGGGUUUGGAAAGAUUCGACCGGUUUUGGUUGUUUUGGUGGGGGAUGGGCUCGCGGCCUAUCAGCUUGUUGGUGGGGUGAUGGCCUGCCAAGGCUUUGACGGGUAGCCGGCCUGAGAGGGUGGGCGGUCACACUGGGACUGAGACACGGCCCAGACUCCUACGGGAGGCAGCAGUGGGGAAUAUUGCACAAUGGGCGCAAGCCUGAUGCAGCGACGCCGCGUGAGGGAUGGAGGCCUUCGGGUUGUGAACCUCUUUCGCCAGUGAAGAAGAUCCUGCUCUUUGUGGUGGGGUUGACGGUAGCUGGGUUAAUGAAGCGCCGGCUAACUACGUG